rnacentral:piRNA from 1 species
UCCUAUGAUGCCUUCAGUGAACUUCCAAAG